GGGGGAUAGAGCGGGACUCCAUCUCAAAAAAAAAAAAAAAAAGUUAUUGCUUUCAUAUUGUUAUUGUCCCUUGGAAUCUUUGCUAUCAGUGUACUGUGUACUUCCUGCCUACCUCUGAGUUUGUAAAGUAGGUAAAAGAGCAGAUGUCAUUGCUAAGAAUAUAGCAUUGACCUCUAUGUAAAAUUUAUAGGUUCUCACACAGAGUGCUGAGGCUUUUGAUCAGCAUCUUUGAAAGUAUUGCUUGCAUACACUUCAAGUAAAAGAUCAUUCUAAUUAUUUCAUAGUCAUACAUUACAUGAAAGAUCUUUGUACAUAAUUGGAAAAUCUUUAAUAAGCUUUGAUUAAUGAUGCUGGCUUUAAUUUGAACUUCAUAUUAUUGUUUUCCAAAUGAUUUCCAUAAUAGAGAACAUGGUGGAUCUAAGCACGAGAUUUUAAGUUCCUGCCUUUCAAAGGUGUGGCUAAAAAGGAGGAGGAUAGAAAACACUGUGUGCCCUCAUGCCAAGCUCUCCGUGUAGGGACAUUAUCUUCACCAUUGCAUUUCAUCUUCAAAACAGCCCUGCAAGUUGUUGCAACAACGCCACUGAGCUGACUCACCACCCCAGGAGUCCGUGAAGGCUUCCCCGAGGAAGCAGUGUUUGAGCUGAGCCUUGAAAAAGAAGUAAGAAGACUCCAGGUAAAUGAGAAUAGCAAGUGCAUUUCAGGCAAAGGAAAGGAAGUGUGAACAAGCAGGUGUGCACUGUGAACAAGCAAGUGUGAACAAUGACUGUCCAGGGCAAAAAGCAUGCAUUUUACCAGGCUGGCAGGAGACCCAGUAUUACAAGUAGGAGAUGCCAAAGGACCACCAAUAUUGGACCUGCUCGCCAUACAACUGUAGAAACGGAAAUGCCUGAUCUCCAAAUUCUCAUUAAUCAGAGAAAAUAAAAAUGUGGUAAUGAAAUAA